rnacentral:lncRNA from 1 species
GUGAGUGUACUUCUCAGUAGCAACUUUUCUCCCUGAAAAAUAAUUUUGUAUUUGUCAGACAACAUGGACACUUGCUAAAUAUUCCAAAAAAAACCCGACUGCACUGUCCACAAGCAUCCUCUAUGCUUUCUUUCGGGGCCAGUAACCUGAUCACUGUUGUUGUUUUUUUUCUCUUAUUGCAGAGCAAUUUGAAAGCCCAGUCUCAACCCUGUCCUGUUGAAGAUCUGCAGGCGUCUACACAUGGCGGCGUGGAGGAUAUGAAAUCAGAACGUGUAAGACUUUAUUUCUUUCUCUGGAAGAGAAAUGUUUUUUUUUUUUGUUUUGCUUUUGUUUUUUCUGGGGCUUCUACACUAUCAAGUGAAUAUCAUUUUUGACUGCCAUCAUUGGUCAGGCCUCAGUUGGUCAUGGACUCUAGCGACCGGUCACUAGAGGUUAUGACCAACUGAGGUCUGAUUGACGAUGGCAGUCAAAGGACGGCAUCACUUACAAACUGGUAGUUAGUGUGUUUCUCAGUAGUAAGCUCUUCUCCCUGAAAAAUAAUUUUGUAUUUGUCAGCCAACGUGGACACUUGCUAAAUAUUCCAAAAAAUACCCCACUGCACUGUCCACAAGCAUCCUCUAUGCUUUCUUUCGGUCCCAGUAACCUGAUCACUGUUUUGUUUUGUUUUUCUCUUAUUGCAGAGAAAGUGGAUCACCGAGUCUCACCUCUGUAAGUAUUCUUUUGUUUUUUUUAACAGCUUUAUUCAAACGUAGUUGACAUGCAAAACAAUGUACCCACUUAAAGUAGGUGAUUCAGCGUUGUUAGAUAUACUAACAUUCCCCCAUCUCAGAAUAGGGAACUGAGGCACAGAGGGUUCAUUUUACUCUCCCAGGUAUGUGCAGAUUCUAAGUAGGAUUUGCAUCCAGGCCAUUCUUGGUGACUUGGAUCUGCUGCUUUUCUAUACUGUCUCAUCUAAAGAUAUCUGCCUGCACAAACAGUCCGUUUUAAGUGCAAUGAACCUUGCAGAAUCCUCCUAGAACCCAAAUCUAAUUCAGGUAGAGUUGAAAAGCAGACGGUAAAAACUGGGAUCAAAAGUUUCAUCUGGGAAUAAGUUUUUACUAAUUUCUCUCCUGUCCUCUGCCAGCAACAUGUCUAGCACUGUCUUUAUUAUAAUACAUUUACAAGAAUCUGUAAGAAGUUUGCUCUACCCUGCAGGUCUGCCUAUCUGUUCCAAGGGCUGGACAACAAAAAUACGGAAAUCCCAGAAAAUUUGGCCUGCAGACAAUAAAGGUAGUGUGGAAAUUAAAUCA